rnacentral:lncRNA from 1 species
AUGGGAUUGGAAAGCAGUACGAGUCGGUUGGUAGUUCCAACGGUCACCUUCUUAGAUUCAUCAGAUAUACAGUACCAGAGGACAAGGAUGCCACCGUAAGGUUUCCGAGCCACACAGACAUAAACUUCACCACCAUUGUUGUUCAGCAUGAUAUCGCUGGCUUGGAGAUCAAAACAAAGGAAGGUGAUUGGAUUAAUGUUGAGUGUGCACCCUCACAAGCACAGUUCGUAUUCAUGGCGGGUGAUGGACUGCAGGUGGGUCCCUAUUAAUUUUUUACUUAAGAAUACCCUAUUUAUUUGUUAAUGAAUGUUGACAUUUAUGUGCAAGUUGUGGUUUUUUUUUCUUAAUUAAACUUAAGAGCAUCAAAAAAUACAUAUAUAAUUUGCUCUGUGUACCUGGUCAAUUAAAGCAUACGACAUUCAUAGAACAAUAUUUAUAAUAGAACACAGAUAUAAAUAAAUAAACAAGACUCUCUAUAUACCUGUUUAUUCUUAGUUAAACAGAUAAAUCUCUCAUAUAUAUGUUUACGGGGUCUAGGUCAAUAAAAAAUGAUAUUGACCAUGCAGACGAGUGAUCUUAUUUAUUUUUUAAAUUGACCGGCAUCGAUAAAUAAAUAAAGAAAUUUCUCUACACAUGUGCCUGC